GUUUUAAAAAGGUGGCAGACUAUGAGAGAGGUUCCACUCACAUGGUCUCCUCGUCUAUGUCGUUCUCCUCCGUGUUGCUGGUGGCUGUGGAGCUUCCUGAGGUGCUGCUGCCAUCCAGUGGGUUCACCUCCUCCUCAGUGAGGCAAUCAACCUCCAGGUCUCCGUCAGACAGUUCCUGAACAACAACAAAGUUGCUCAAAGUGGUCUGGGCGUCGUCAUCACUCUUCACUGAGCCAGGGUCUCUCUCAGACGUUGCGGUGCCUGCAGUCAGUCUCAGGUCGGGGGGCGAGGAGCUGCGGGAUGUCUGACGGCGAAACAACUCAAUGGCCAGCCUCUGACGUCACACAUGAAUUAAACAGAUCAGUUUUCGGUGUCCUACCCAUGAGAGUGAUGAGUUUGUUCUUCAGCUGGUUGUCCAGACGAGCGAUCAUCAUUUCCACCGCAUUCCGGAUCUCCCUCACCCUCUCG